UUACUUAACGUGAUUGUGACUAGCAACCUUCACUACUUGUGAAUAUAAGUUCAUAACGAUUAGGUGAAAUUCCCUUAUAUUCUAGCGUCAAAUUCAUGCAUGAAAAUUAAGCGUGCACUCUCAACCAACAUACACAAAUUAGUUUUUAUACGAACGGAAAAGUAAAUUGAAUUCACAAUUCAAGAAACGCAAUUGGAAGUAAUCAAAUCAUAUAGCAAGCAUAAACAUGGU
rnacentral:lncRNA from 1 species